AUACGUGGUUCCAUGACGGGUCCAUGGAUUCUUCCAGUGUGUGCCCCAUCCACUGUUUCUGUGACCUGAAUAGAUUGCUGCUUGCCUGAAAGAGUUAUUCAGCCGUCUAAAGAGCUUGGCUUCCUCCCAAAAGU
rnacentral:lncRNA from 1 species